rnacentral:lncRNA from 1 species
AAGCGAGUGCGAAAAAUAAAUAAAGUAAAGCGGGUGUGAAAAAUAAAUAAAGUAAAGCAAGUGCGGAAAAUAAAUAAAAUAAAAGCGUAGACAGAAAGUAAAUAAAAUAAAAGCGUAAAUAAGUUCCUGGUCCAAACGGAGGGCUUUAAAUCUGGUACAAGAAAAAUAAACCUCCGACUCCUGAAGAUAAAGACGACAACAACUCGAAGUGACCCAACUCAAUCUCACUAAGGUGCGAU